CGCAGGGGGCGUGGCCUGUCCGUUAAUUGGCUUGGCGGGAACCAGGUGCGGCGCGGAGGAGGCGAAGGGCCGCUCCGGAGUCCCGCCGCCCGCUCCUCCACCCUCCUGCUACUGACGUAGUUUAACGUUUGAGGUCCCCCGGAUCGAUCGCUGUGCGCCCCCGCCAGCACGUGCUCACGUGCUCGGACGUUUUUGGCGCAUUCCUUUUUGCUGCACAUCAUCACGGACAACAUUAGUAACUACAAUGUGAGCGAAGACGACACGGAGACGGACUGAACAAAGCGACCUGCACUGAGCUUCCACAGACACAUCGAGAGCUCAGAUGACGAUUACCUGCAGCAGUAAAUUCAAGACUCCCCUGGUCGAAUUUCUCCAAGGGGAAGCAAGUGGACAUCCAGACGCCUUGGGCUGAUCCCUUGGUCUGAUGGCUCCCAGCAGGAGGGGAGGACUCAGGAUGCAGCAUAAUAGGAUGCUGUAGUCACAGGACUGCUUUGGAUAAAGUGCAUAUGUGUCAGUCACAUAUUUGUUUUUUAACCUCAGCCAAUAAAAUAUAAAUUUUCUCAUCAAUCAUGAAUACGGUUUGUGCAUAAAAUUAUAAGUAACAUUGUAUUUUGUGUAUUCCUCCUUCUUAUGCUGUGUUUUUAUGUAACCGGAGUCAAAUCCACGUAUGCAUAAUCGUACAUGACGAAUAAAGCUGAUUCUGAAAAUGGGAAUAAUACCUCACCUUUUUAAUUUUUACCCUUUUAAAAAUAUUAGUAUAACAC
ensembl:lncRNA